rnacentral:rRNA from 1 species
CCUACGGGCGGCAGCAGUGGGGAAUAUUGCGCAAUGGGCGAAAGCCUGACGCAGCGACGCCGCGUGAGGGAUGAAGGUCUUCGGAUCGUAAACCUCUGUCAGCAGGGAAGCACGGUCACUGUGCUAAUCAGCAGUGAAUUGACGGUACCUGCAAAGGAAGCACCGGCUAACUCCGUGCCAGCAGCCGCGGUAAUACGGGGGGUGCGAGCGUUAAUCGGAAUUACUGGGCGUAAAGCGCUCGUAGGCGGUAUGUCAAGUCAAGGGUGAAAUCCCCGCGCUCAAAGUGGGAACUGCCUUUGAAACUGGCAAACUGGAGUGUGUGAGAGGAUAGUGGAAUUCGAGGUGUAGGAGUGA